GAAUCUAGUGGCUAGAAUUGGAAGACCAUCUCAAAGGGUUUUUUUUUCUAUAAGGUUUCUCCUUCAAUGGAUUCAGGUAUGCUUCCGCUAUUAUUUUUCUACUCAUUGUUUUUAAUCAGGAGAUUCCAGUGUAUAUAUAAAUUAAGGUAUUCACCUUGUUAAAUAUUUCAGUACAUAUGUAGUUAGGGUAUUCACCCUGUUAAAUAUUCCAGUACAUAUGUAGUUAGGGUAUUCACCCUAUUAAAUAUUCCAGUACAUAUGUAGUUAGGGUAUUCACCCAGUUAACUAUUCCAGUAUAUAUGAAAUCAGGGUAUUCAUCUUGGUUGAAUACUAACAAGUGGUAUCAGAGCCUACUCCUUGAUUAAUUCUUUGAGUUAUUAUUUUAAUAUAUAUAUGUCAAUGGAUUAAGAUUUAUGAAAUAUUGAGUUGAUAAAUUUUUUUUAUUAUUAUUACUAUUAUUAUUAUUAUUAUUAUUAUUAUUGUUAUUUAAUAGCAUUUUAUGAUAUUAAUAUUUAAGUUAUUGAUCUAGCAUUUUUAAAUAGGCUAAUUAAAGCGGAAAAUCACCAAAGUGACAUCUUCCGUGUAGAUUAGUCUGUUCGGGGUGUUAGAUAUUUGUGUGUAUGUGAUUCAUGCGGGUAUUGACUGGCCCAAAGGAAAGUUAAUAUUUGGUCAAAUUGCAUACAUACUUGUGGUGAUAAAUAUGUGAUGAUUAUAAAGGUAACUUAAUGUGAAUAAUAAAUCAAUCCAAAGAUAGAUUUAUUAUUUGACAUAACUUAUCAUCAAUGUUUGAUCACUACAACAAGAGUACCACUUACAAUUAAUAUUACUGUCCAAAGACUUGAUAUUAAUGUUGUGCUAGGUAUCUUGAAAUGUCAUAAUUUGCUUUUAAAUUUAAAGAUUAUGUGUUUAAUUGCUUAUUUUAUGUGAGCAUGAUGGUUUAUUUGAUUCAUUUUAUUUUGUUCUCGAUUCAGCUUUUAUAUCAACCACUUCUAUAUCUGCCAACAUCAAUAAUGUCCCUAUGUUAAAUGGGACUAAUUUUAAGGACUGGAAAGAGAAUAUGAUGAUUCUCUUAGGCUGCAUGGAUAUAGACUUAGCCUUGAGAAUGCCCAAACCCGAUGAACUCAAUGAGCAAAGUACUCAAGAGGAUGAUGUUUAUUGGGGUAAGUGGGAACGUUCAAAUAGGCUAAGUCUUAUGAUCAUGAAGCGCGGCAUUCCAGAAGCUUUCAGGGGUGCGGUAACCGAUGAGGUUACUAAUGCCAGUGACUUCCUUGCGGAAAUUCAGAAGCGUUUUGCCAAAAACGAUAAGGCUGAAACGAGCACGCUUUUAGCAAGCUUGAUUUCAAUGAAGUAUAAAGGCAAGGGUAAUGUUCGGGAGUACAUCAUGGAGAUGUCUCAUCUUGCUUCAAAACUUAAGGCUUUGAAACUCGAGUUAUCUGAUGAUUUACUCGUGCAUUUGGUUCUCAUCUCUCUUCCUGCACAAUUUAAUCAAUUCAAGGUCAGUUAUAACUGUCAAAAGGAUAAAUGGACUCUUAAUGAGCUCAUUUCAUUCUGUGUGCAAGAGGAAGAGAGAUUGAAGCAAGACAAGACCGAAAGUGCUCAUCUGGCUAGCACUUCGAAGGAUAAGGGCAAACGAAAGAAUAAGGAUAAUAAGGUUGCUGCUUCUAAUGGUCCAGAACAAAAGAAACAGAAAGUUGAGGUAACAUGUUUCUUCUGUAAUAAGCCUGGACAUACUAAGAAGGAAUGUACCAAGUAUGCUGCUUGGCGUGUUAAGAAAGGUAUGUUUCUUACUUUGGUAUGUUCUGAAGUUAAUUUAGCUUCAGUAUCUAGAAACACAUGGUGGUUAGAUUCUGGUGCUACUACUCACAUUUGUGUUUCUAUGCAGGGUUGCCUGAGUUACCGAAAACCAAGUGAUGCUGAAAGAUGCAUCUAUGUCGGAGACGGUCAGUCGGUAGAAGUAGAGGCAAUAGGGCACUUUAGAUUAUUAUUGAAAUCUGGUUAUUUUUUGGAUUUAAUAGAUACUUUUAUUGUACCGUCUUUCAGACGGAAUUUCAUUUCAGUUUCUGUUUUGGACAAAUCAGGUUAUUGUUGUUCAUUUGGAAACAAUAAAUUUACAUUAUCUAUUAAUUCAAAUGCUGUAGGAACCGGUUUACUUAAUGUUUAUGAUAAUCUAUAUUUGUUGGAAACUGUUCCGUCCUAUAAUGAAACCUUGCAUGUGGAAUCACGAGGUACAAAACGUAAAUUGAAUAAAGAUAAUUUGGCCUCAUUGUGGCAAAAACGCCUAGGUCAUAUCUCUAAAUCUAGAGUUGAGCGACUUGUGUCCGAUGGGAUUUUGGAUUCACUUAACUUUUCAGAUUUUGAUAUUUGUGUUGAGUGUAUUAAAGGAAAACAGACCAAAACAAAGAAAUUAGGUGCCAAUAGAGCUACAGACGUCUUAGAAUUAAUUCAUACAGAUAUCUGUGGACCAUACCCUACGGCAUCUUGGAAUGGUCAACAGUACUUUAUAACAUUCAUAGACGACUACUCAAGAUAUGGCUACCUAUUUCUUAUACAUGAGAAAUCACAAUCAUUGGACGUGUUCAAAACAUUUAAAGCAGAAGUUGAGUUACAACUCAACAAAAGAAUAAAGAGCGUCAGAUCUGACCGUGGUGGUGAAUACUAUGGUAGAUAUGACGGAUUAGGUGAACAACAUCCAGGACCAUUUGCUAAAUACCUAGAGGAAUGUGGGAUCGUCCCUCAAUACACCAUGCCAGGAUCACCUAGCAUGAAUGGUGUAGCAGAAAGACGAAACCGAACCCUUAAGGACAUGGUAAGGAGUAUGAUUAGUCAUUCUACUUUACCCGAAAAACUCUGGGGUGAAGCACUCAAAACGGCAGCUUAUAUCCUCAAUCGGGUGCCAACUAAAGCGGCUGCUAAAACGCCUUAUGAGCUUUGGACGGGUCGAAAGCCCAGUUUAAAGCAUUUUCAUAUUUGGGGAUGUCCAGCUGAAGCGAGACCUUAUAAGUCUCAUGAAAAGAAAUUGGACUCUAAAACAGUUAGCAGCUACUUUAUUGGCUAUGCAGAGCGAUCAAGGGGUUUUAAAUUUUAUGAUCCUGCUAUUAGGUCAAUUUUUGAGACGGGAACUGCAACAUUUUUUUGAGGAUGUUGAGUUUGGGGGGAGAAAUCAGGCUAGGAAUAUUGUCUUUGAGGAGGAAGAGGGAUCUACUAUUGCUUUUGAUAAUGUACAGGUUUCACUACCUAUCAUUGAUCAAGAAGUAAAUUUGGAUCCUCAACCAACAGACAAUAUUGUUCAACCCUUAAUUGCAAAUGAGGACAUUGCUCCUGAAGAACAAACUCAACAACCUCAAGAAAAUAUGCCAUUAAGGAGAUCCACUAGAGAGAGGAGAAAUGCAAUUUCGGACGAUUAUAUCGUAUAUCUCCAGGAACGUGAGGUAGAAAGUGGAAUGAUGGAAGAUGAUCCAAUCAACUUCCAGCAAGCCAUGAAAAGUUCCAACUCUCAGAAAUGGAUUGAAGCCAUGAAUGAAGAGUACAAAUCUAUGCAAGACAAUAAAGUUUGGGAACUUGUCCCAUUACCAGUUGGUACGAAACCCAUUGGUUGUAAAUGGAUAUUUAAAACCAAGCGGGAUUGAAAUGGUAAUGUAGAAAGAUAUAAAGCACGUCUUGUAGCUAAAGGCUUUACUCAAAAAGAAGGAAUUGACUUCAAAGAGACCUUCUCUCCAGUUUCUACGAAGGACUCUUUCAGGAUAAUCAUGGCACUAGUUGCACAUUAUGAUCUUGAGUUACAUCAAAUGGAUGUUAAAACAGCGUUUCUCAAUGGUGACAUUGAUGAAACAAUUUAUAUGGUACAACCAGAAAAUUUUGUGUCCGAAGACUCAAAGAAUAUGGUUUGUAAAUUGACUAAAUCCAUUUAUGGGCUCAAGCAAGCUUCUCGUCAGUGGUACUUCAAGUUUCAUCAAAUUAUUGUCUCAUAUGGUUUUGAGGCAAAUCUUAUGGAUGAAUGUGUGUAUCACAAAUUCAGUGAGAGUAAGUAUAUUUUCCUGGUUUUAUAUGUCGAUGACAUAUUGCUAGCCACAAAUGAUAUUAGCAUAUUGCACGACACCAAGAGAUUUUUAUCAAAACAUUUUGAGAUGAAAGAUCUUGGUGAUGCCUCCUUUGUCUUAGGAAUCCAGAUACACCGAGAUCGUUCUAGGGGUAUUUUAGGAUUGUCACAAAGGACCUAUAUUGAUAAAGUCCUCCAAAGGUAUGGCAUGCAAAAUAGCAAACCAGGUGAUACCCCUGUCGCUAAAGGAGACAAAUUCAGUCUUAAUCAAUGCCCUAAAAAUAGUUUAGAAAGUCAAGAAAUGCAGAAGAUUCCUUACGCUUCGGCUGUGGGGAGUCUAAUGUAUGCUCAGGUAUGUACACGUCCGGAUAUUGCGUACAUUGUUGGCAUGUUAGGCAGAUAUCUAAGUAACCCUGGAAUGGAUCAUUGGAGAGCAGCCAAGAGGGUUAUGAGAUAUUUACAGAGAACAAAAGAGUACAUGCUUACAUAUAGGAGAUUGGAUCAGUUAGAGUUGAUUGGGUAUUCCGACUCCGACUUUGCUGGAUGCCAAGACAGCAGAAGAUCCACAUCAGGCUAUAUUUAUCUGUUGGCUAGUGGAGCAAUUUCAUGGAGGUCUGCCAAACAGACACUCGUAACUUCAUCCACCAUGGAAGCAGAGUUUGUAGCAUGUUAUGAGGCAUCCAAUCAAGGAAUAUGGCUACGAAAUUUUGUCACUGGGCUACGUGUUCUGGAUGGUAUUGAAAGACCGCUGAAGAUAUUUUGUGACAAUAAAUCAGCAGUUUUAUAUUCCAAUAACAACAGGAGUUCUACAAAAUCAAAAUACAUUGAUAUCAAGUUCCUAGUUGUAAAAGAAAAAGUACAGAGUGGACAGAUAUCCAUAGAGCAUAUUGGAACAAACUCCAUGAUAGCGGAUCCGCUUACAAAGGGAUUACCACCCAAGGUCUUUCAUGAGCACACUGCUCAUAUGGGUGUUGUCUCAUUUGAGGAUAUCCAAAUUUAGUGGGAGUUUGUAUUAUUCAUUGUAUAUUGCUCUAUGUUAUGUUUAGACUUUAUCUAUACAUUUGGAUUGUGUUCUGCAGAAAUAAAGUAUUCAUUUUAUUGCACUCUGUUAAAUUAUGCUAAAGAUUUGAUCUCAAUAAAGUUAAGUUGGACCAGUUGGAAAUAGGCAUGAAUAGAUCACAUUGCAUGUAAUUUCCAUGCUAUGCACUCAUGAUUGAUCUAUGUCAUUUAGCUGUGCAGAUAUAUGUGACCAUUGAUUGGUCUAGUAACGAUUGAUGUAACAAAGGCCACCUUGAUCCUAUGUCAGUAUAGUUAAUGGACGAGAUUGUUCGGAUAUACCCUAAGGACAUGAUAGCAAAUUUUGUGCUCAUAAGGUUAAGCACAUUUAUUUGAUUACAUAUGCAUGUGGCCCAGUGGGAGAUUGUUAGAUUAAUUUUUGUAAUUAAUCUAUAAUUUGGGCCACACAUGUAAAUAAUUAAAAUGUGUGUGCUAUCAUUUAAUUAAGCCUAAAUAUAGUGAUCUAAUUAAUAAUUGAUUAAUUGGCUUAAGGGUAUAAUUGUCAUGAGAUUAUUGUGUAGAUACCAUUAGACAAUUAUUAUUUCUAUGAGGGGCAGAAAUAUAAUUGUGAUAAAAUUAAAACUGCCCUAGCAGUUUAUAAAUAGGGUUAUGGUCCCCAUUCUACGACUACGCAUUCCAAUUUCUGAAAAUCCUCUCAGAGAGAAAUUGACACAGAAUCUAGUGGCUAGAAUUGGAAGACCAUCUCAAAGGGUUUUUUUUUCUAUAAGGUUUCUCCUUCAAUGGAUUCAGGUAUGCUUCCGCUAUUAUUUUUCUACUCAUUGUUUUUAAUCAGGAGAUUCCAGUGUAUAUAUAAAUUAAGGUAUUCACCUUGUUAAAUAUUUCAGUACAUAUGUAGUUAGGGUAUUCACCCUGUUAAAUAUUCCAGUACAUAUGUAGUUAGGGUAUUCACCCUAUUAAAUAUUCCAGUACAUAUGUAGUUAGGGUAUUCACCCAGUUAACUAU
rnacentral:lncRNA from 1 species